AGCUGGAUCAUUUGACGGUUGGGCAACUCAGAGAAAGAUGAAAAAGUCAAGCACAUGACUCUUCUCUUUGUGGCUGCAAUUAUAUCCGGGCCAAUACGAGAUCAAAUUCAUUGUUGAUGGUGAGUGGAGGAUCGAUCCCCUAAGACCAGUUGUUAAAACCGAAGGAUUCGAGAACAAUCUGCUUAU